rnacentral:rRNA from 1 species
UGGGGAAUAUUGGACAAUGGGCGAAAGCCUGAUCCAGCCAUGCCGCGUGAGUGACGAAGGCCUUAGGGUUGUAAAGCUCUUUUGGCGGGGAAGAUAAUGACGGUACCCGCAGAAUAAGCUCCGGCUAACUUCGUGCCAGCAGCCGCGGUAAUACGAAGGGAGCUAGCGUUGUUCGGAAUCACUGGGCGUAAAGCGCACGUAGGCGGAUUUGUCAGUCAGGGGUGAAAUCCCGGGGCUCAACCUCGGAACUGCCUUUGAUACAGCAAGUCUUGAGUUCGAGAGAGGUGGGUGGAAUUCCUAGUGUAGAGGUGAAAUUCGUAGAUAUUAGGAAGAACACCGGUGGCGAAGGCGGCCACUGGCUCGAUACUGACGCUGAGGUGCGAAAGCGUGGGGAGCAAACAGGAUUAGAUACCCGAGUAGUCCCUGAGCGGGCUGGCAAGGCGCAU